GAUGAACGCUGGCGGCGUGCUUAAUACAUGCAAGUCGAACGGACGGACGCGGCGCUUGCUUCUCUCAUGUUAGCGGCGGACGGGUGAGUAACACGUGGAUACCCUACCUAUCAGACUGGGAUAACUUCGGGACACCGGAUCUAAUACCGGAUAAUAUUUUGCACCGCAUUGUUCAAAAGUGAAAGUCGGUCUUGCUGUCACUUAUAGCUGGAUCCGCGCUGCAUUAGCUAGUUGGUAAGGUAACGGCUUACGAAGGCAACGAGGCAUAGCCGACCUGAGAGGGUGAUCGGCCACAUUGGAAGUGGGACACGGACAUGACUCCUGCGGGAGGGAGCAGAAGCGUACCUGACGCAAUGGGCGAAAGCAUGACGGAGCGACGGCGCGCGAGUGAUGAAGGUCUUCGGAGCGGAAAACUCGGUUAUUAGGGAAGAACAUAUGUGUAAGUUGCUGAGCCCAGCUUGACGGUAACUAAUCAGAAAGCCACGGCUAACUACGUG
rnacentral:rRNA from 1 species